CGAUUGGAGCCGAGACAAAAGCAACGGGAAGCGGCGGGCCGGGACGCUACCCUCGGACCCCGGGAGCGACCGGACUGGCCCCGAGGCAUUCCCCCGCCUUGCGGGGGCCCUGAAUCCGCCUCCCCCGCCGCGCGCUCCGCUGCCAGACUUCCGAAAAUUUGCCAAAAACUCACCGCAUGAAUUUUCUUGUCCCGCGGAUCCAAGAUGGCGACGUAUCCACCGCGGAGGCUGCUGGGAGCAAGACCUUUACCCUCUGACCCCCGCCGUGACCCCCGUCGCUCCGGCUUCGCCGAAGACGGCGGCGACGACGGCGGCGGCGGCGUUGGAAGGUGGAAGCGGAGAGGACGGGGCUGAGCUCCGCCGCGCCGCGCCGCCCUGCACCGCACACACCCACCGCGCGUCGCCCGCGCCCCAGAAGUGAGUUCCCCUCGGCAGAAACGGUGAUGUCGACCCCUUCCUCCUCCUCCUCUUCAUUUCUUCCAGACCUGGUGGGAAGAAGUAACGGGAGCAUACUCAGACAGUACUGUUGAGAAUACUUAAGUCUUGCUGGAUCCCCAAACCCCUAAACCUGAGGGGACAGGGACGAAAACCAACGCUUUCCAAAACAGUAGUUGACAAUGGAAAUGAAAUGAAAUUUUGGAUUUUUUUUUUUUUUGGCAGUACAGUCAUCUUCCGUUAUUUCUUUAUACAUCCAUGACCUUCACUUUUUAUACUUAGGACACUUUUAGUUGUAAAAGAAAGCCUCUGCAUGUGUUUUGAAAUUGUGAAGUUUUCCUAAUGUAAGAUUGUUGCCCCUUUCUGUUCCCAGUGAUAGAUUAUGUCAUUGUCAAGGCCAAGUAAUUGGAAGUAAAUAAAACUUUUGUGUUCCUUGGUUGUUUCUAUUAUGAAAUAACCUUUCUAACCAAAACAGGAUAAUGCAACUUAAAUGUAUCAUAGACAGCCAACAGUAAGAAAAAUAAGUAUACUGUAUUAAUAAUGACAUGUUUUUGAAUAUAAGGUAUUUUGUUGUGUCAGCAGAUGUAUAAAUUUUUUUAAACAUCUAAUAGUGCUGAUGUAGUCAGCAGAAAGUAUUUGCCUGGUUAUUCCUUUCAUUAAACAUUAUACUUUA